rfam:TPA: Bos taurus chromosome 23, whole genome shotgun sequence.
UCCCUGGCAGUCCAGUUGUUAAGACUUGGUGCUUUCAGUGCCAUGGGCCCAGGUUCAAUCCCUGGUGGGGGAA